rnacentral:rRNA from 1 species
GACAGGAGGGUGCAAACGUUGUUCGGAAUUACUGGGCGUAAAGCGCGUGUAGGCGGCCCUGCAAGUCGGAUGUGAAAUCCCACGGCUCAACCGUGGAAGUGCAUUCGAAACUGCAGGGCUAGAGUCCUGGAGAGGAAGGUGGAAUGCUUGGUGUAGAGGUGAAAUUCGUAGAUAUCAAGCGGAACACCGGUGGCGAAGGCGGCCUUCUGGACAGUGACUGACGCUGAGACGCGAAAGCGUGGGGAGCAAACAGG